GAUGAACGCUGGCGGCGUGCUUAACACAUGCAAGUCGAACGAGAAGUGAAGACGGAAACCUUCGGGCGGAAGGCUUUAUUUCGAGUGGCGGACGGGUGAGUAACGCGUGGGUAACCUGCCUCAUACAGGGGGAUAACAGUUGGAAACGACUGUUAAUACCGCAUAAGACCACAGCACCGCAUGGUGCGGGGGUAAAAACUCCGGUGGUAUGAGAUGGACCCGCGUUCGAUUAGCCAGUUGGCGGGGUAACGGCCCACCAAAGCGACGAUCGAUAGCCGAUCCGAGAGGAUGACCGGCCACAGUGGGACUGAGACACGGCCCAAACUCCUACGGGAGGCAGCAGUGGGGAAUAUUGCACAAUGGGGGAAACCCUGAUGCAGCGACGCCGCGUGAGUGAAGAAGUAUUUCGGUAUGUAAAGCUCUAUCAGCAGGGAAGAAAAUGACGGUACCUGAGGAAGAAGCCCCGGCUAACUACGUG
rnacentral:rRNA from 1 species